rnacentral:rRNA from 1 species
UACGGAGGGGGCUAGCGUUAUCCGGAUUUACUGGGUUUAAAGGGUGCGCAGGCGGAUAUGUAAGUCAGUGGUGAAAUCUCUAGGCCUAACCUGGAAAUUGCCGUUGAUACUAUAUAUCUUGAAUGCUGUGGAGGUAAGCGGAAUAUGUCAUGUAGCGGUGAAAUGCUUAGAUAUGACAUAGAACACCUAUUGCGAAGGCAGCUUACUACGCAGAUAUUGACGCUCAUGCACGAAAGCGUGGGGAUCAAACAGG